rnacentral:ncRNA from 4 species
AUCCUUCGAUGUCGGCUCUU